rnacentral:rRNA from 1 species
UUUGCCGCAAUGGGCGAAAGCCUGACGGCGCAACGCCGCGUGAGGGAUGACAGCUCUAGGGCUGUAAACCUCUUUUAUCAAGGAAGAAGAUCUGACGGUACUUGAUGAAUAAGCCACGGGUAAUUCCGUGCCAGCAGUCGCGGUAAUACAGGAGUGGCAAGCGUUAUCCGGAAUUAUUGGGCGUAAAGCGUCCGUAGGCGGCCCUUCAAGUCUGCUGUUAAAAAGUGGAGCUUAACUACAUCAUGGCAGUGGAAACUGUUGGGCUUGAGUGUGGUAGGGGCAGAGGGAAUUCCCGGUGUAUCGGAGAAAUGCGUAUAUAUCGGAAAGAACACCAGAGGAGAAGGCGCUCUGCUGGGCCAUCACUGACGCUCAUGGACGAAAGCCAGUGAAGCGAAAGGGAUUAGAUACCCCUGUAGUCCUGGCCGCAAACGAUGAACACUAUGUGUCGGUGGAAUCGACCCCCUCGAUGUCUUAACCAACGCGUUAAGAGUUCCGCCUGUAGAGUACGCACGCAAGUGUGAAACUCAAAGGAUUUGAC